UUGGGAGCUGUUUGCCGUAACUCUGACGGGGAGCUUGUCGCGGCUGCAACGUGGGUGUUCUGACCCAGCUUUGGCUGAAGCUUGUGCCCUCUAUAAUGCAGUGAUUUUGGCGCGUGAUUGUUGCUUCCGUUAUGUUGAAUUUGAGAGUGACAAUAGUUCUAUCAUUGCUUUGGUGAAAGAGGGGAAUGGGAACCCUAGAUCGUAUUUAGGUGAUUUCAUUAGGGGAAUUCACCGUAAUAACUAAUAAAGUUGUUUUUAGGACUUGCACUUUUAGGUAGGGGUCUUGCAAUGUUGUUUGGUUUGGUUUUAAGCAUAAAAGUCAUUCUAACCGUGAGAUAAAAAUGCAUGCGACUCGGUUUGGUCCACCAAACCAAACUAGACCAAACCAAACCAAUACGAUUUGGAUUGAUUCGGUUGGUGUGGUUUACAGCAUAACGUUUCAGUACCGAAUAAUUUUAAACAUUCAAAAAAAAACUUUGAAGUUCCAAAAUAAGAUUGUAGUACCAAUAAAAAUUGUUUAUCCAAAAUAACAUUAUAGUAUCUUACAAUUUUAAAUAUCAAAAAAAAAAAACUUAGAAUUUCCAAAAUAACAUCACAGUACCGAUAAAAGUUGUUUAUCUAAAAUAACAUUACAGUAAAAAAAAUAAAAACAACUUGAAGUUCCAUUAAUUUGGUCGACUGACUUGGUAAUUGGGCUAUGUAGUAUGGACCACUUUAUCAAGUAGUGGUCCAUGGUGGACUAGUCAUGAAUAACAUUAUGACGAAUACGAGUUUUACAAAAUUCACCGUUGGAUUGAAAGUUUAUAUCAUAUAGAUCAUCCAUGAAAAAAUUUAGAAAAAUUGAAAAUUAUUUGAUAUGUUAUUGAGACUCAUCAAGAUUAACGGUUUAUUACAUACCAUAAAUUUUUAUUAACAAACUCACCAUAACAUAAGGCAUGUCUUUUUUUUUAUAUAAGUUUAGAUAAUAGAAAAUAUGGAUCACACAGACAGGCACGGAACGCGCCCUGUCUGGCCGCUAGUAAUAAAUAAUAAUAAUAAUAAUAAUAAUAAUAAUAAUAUAACUCCUACAAUUAAUUUAUUAAAGUCCUAAACUUGAGGUAUUACAGAUAACAUCAUGUUGAGGGUGAGUGUAGUUAUAUUUGGAAAACUUAUGAGCUUCCCAAAGCGGGUCACAUGCUUUGGCGUAUGUGUAUAGCGUGUUGAAUAAUGCUAGCAACACACUCUUUAACAAACACACUCCAACACACUUUCUUUUAUUGGUU
rnacentral:lncRNA from 1 species